CCCCGCCCCCUGAGCGCCGCGCGGCUCCGCCUGCGGGGGGGCGGCCGCCGCUGAGCCGGUGCCGGUCGCUGCGGGUAGCCGCCUUCGACGUAGGCGCUCCUAUCCUGGGCCGAGGUUCAGCUUCGCCGGUACUCAUCUCCGAAGGAAGGAACAGAAGAAAACCUGCCAUACGGCCCCGUAGCUCAGGUACCGAUUUCAACGCGGCGCAGGCCACAGUAAGCCGUAAGUCGAGGAGAAAAGGAGCAGCGCUCCCGGGCGGCGCGCAUCAGCCGGACGGCUUGGCGGGAAGGGGCGGCAGCGGGCGGGCGCAGCGCCCCUUCCCCAUGAGGAAACGUACGCAGCACUGCCGCCGGUAGAGCCCGACAGGCUGAAGGAGGACUGGCGUCACAUUUAAUAUCGUGCUCGCUGGAAACUUUUACAGUCCGACAGCCAGAGUAAUAAUCAGGUGCAACUUCAGACGACUUCUAUAAAAUAACUUUAAUGACUUGGUUCAUGCCACUUUAAAAACAGUCAUUUUCAAGAAGAAAAAUCAGUAUGUUUCUGGUACUGACUUUGCUUUCCUAUUCUUAUUCCCAUCUUUGCUAAUAGUUUGGCAUCCCCAGUACAUCCAGACGUUUGCCUGGGUGGGUGUACUGAAAAGUAACCCCAAGUUCCUAACCUGCUUAUACAGUCUGCAGUUACUGCAGACCUUCCCCACCCACCUCCAUCUACUAAGAAAAAGUCUUUUUGUGAAAGCUUUCCAAAAUGCCAAAGAUGAUAUUAAGCCAAGUAUUCCUCAGAUCUGUAUGUAUGUGUAUAUAUAUAUAUAUGGUCUGUCUGACUUGAAAUUCAAUCUGCAGUCACCCAGAUGGCAGAUGAAAAUCACUGGCAUAAGACAGCUAUUGUAGCCUAGAGAGCUGUAUAUGCUAUCACUAUUGGAAUCAAACAGCUGUUCUUGGUCUUUCCUGAGCAAAAUCUUCAUGGCAUCCAAAUGAGAUUUUUGCAGGCCGCACACAGAGUCCUUUUAAAGGAAGAUGUGACGUGAAUUCUCAAAACACAUCCCCAUCUCAAAACAGACAAUAAAAUGGGCAUCACAAAAAUCCAUGUUAUACAAUAAGACUGCAUUUCAGUUUUUCCUAUUACUUGGUAUAACAAGAUUCAGUAAAACAUGGAAGCAAAGUACCAAUGGCCAUCUUCCCCCAAGUCCUUGAAGAAUUUCUCUGCAUAUUCUACUGGUCUUCAGGUCUCUAAAGUUUCUUCAUUUGCACCACAAGUGUCUACAACACAGAUUAAACAACUUGUCACUGGGAAAGCACGGACUUUGGAGUUGGCUAUCCACUUGUCUGUUUCAGUAUUAUACUCAAGAAUGUGCCCUAAUCGACCAACACCCUGAAAACCGGCCAGGACAUAAACUAUGGAUCCCACAGCAGCACACUUCACUGUUACACCUUUCCAUGGCAUUGGAGACACCAUCUUCCAUUCAUUCAUCUUGAUAUCGUAAUAUUCUACAUUAUCAAGGCCACCUAAAAAGCAAUGAAAUAGAGAACUGCUUACUACAGUAUACUGUCUAGGAUGAACUUGAGUACAGAAUGCUACUUAAAACUUAGUCAUUUUCAGAGUUUACAUUAAAAUAUGUAACAGACAGAAUAUUUCAGAGGAAAGGCCACAAUUUUCUAAACUAGCAGUUACUCACUCUUUAAAUACAGAAACAGAAGGCAAGACUGAAAAUGAGAUGCACUCCUACAAGUUUCACAUUGUAAAGGUUCUAACGAGUUGCUCCACAAACACAACAGUGCCUGAUUUCUCAUGGAUUUUGGGUAGUAACCUAAAGUUAGGAAUCCACCUAAAAAUUAUCUCCAGUAAGGCCAUUUAAUUCUAGUUGGAUUAUCAGCAUACCUUUACCUAAGUAGGUCGCUUACUGAUGAAGGAUCUCCAUUAAACUUCAAAUAUGUUUAUAUCAUAAAAACCUAAGUCACUUUUCAAGGGCCGACAGUUUCAAAAGUUAUUAAGGAAAGUAUGUUAUGUGAAGUAUGUAAGAUUUUCUUCUUUAAGAAACAGGCUAGCAAUCACACUUCACAAUAUCUACAAAUAUCUUAUUAUUCUUAUUUAAAAAUAAAUGACUACGAGGCACAGGCAAGUUUUCCCUUCCAGUCCUGAAUUAUUAGAUCUGAGAGAUUAACUUCUAUAAUCAUAGAUGAUAUUUCAUUCCAGACAUAAAUCUUUGCCAUUAUAUUAUAUUAAGAACAAUUAAUCAGUGAAGUUGCAGAAUGCAAACAGCAAAAGAAUAUUUUACUUAUUAGUUCAGCAGCACACGGUCAGCAAAUACACUAAAACCUUGCAAAGUGACAGCUCUGGCUAUAACUGUUUGAUCAAGUGCACAGAAAAAUUAUACAUACUGAUAUUUUUGAAUAGGAGUCAAUCAUACUGGAAUAGUCUUAGUAACUAAUUAAAAUACAAGCUAUAUUCUAGAACAGCAUUAAUGUGAAUUUAGAUAUUCUAGUUACCAUAAAUAGUAAUUAAUAAACCCCAUAGAUGAGAACUUUCAUUUUCAAAAGCGCUUCAGAAACCCUAUGUAAUUAAAAUUGAAAUUCAACUCUCCUGGGAAAUCAACUAUCAUUCUAGUUUUACAGAUAAAGAGACAGACCAUGACAGUAAGUCACAUUUCAUUAACUAGGGCAGUCAAGAAAAUUCUGUUUUUCACCUCUUGAAAAUAGCAGACUAGCUUUGAAUCUUCAGACUGUUUUGUUCAGUGGAAUGACAAAGUCUCUUGAAAUAUACAAUGAAAGACUUAAAGCAAAUAAACCAACUAAAAGAUUGCCUUUUGUUAAGAUAUUUGACUUGGCUAUAUUAGUACAGAUGCAUUUCUGAAUUUUACAGUACUAGGAGACUGGAAAACAUAAUGAAGUAUGGAGGUGAAUGAAGGAAUGCAACAACAUCAGCAAUAGAACAUGUUUUAUAGUACUGCUCAAAGUUUUUCCAGCUGAAUAAAGUAGAAUUAAAUUUUGGUAAAGGCAACAAAAGGCCCCAACAAAAGUUUGAGUGUCCAGCUAGAGAAUUAAAAGAACUGGAGUACCUAAGCCAUUCUGUCCGCCCACAGCAAAUAUUUUGUCCUUUACAAACACCAGUCCAUGAUUCUUCCUGGCUUCAAUCAUUGGACACAGCUCAGUCCAUCUGAAGAAGCAAACAAACAAACAAACAAACAAACAAAAUCACAGGAGAAUUCACUGUUUCAUUUCUUAAAAAAAAAUACAUAUUAAAUAAAUCCUGGAGAUAGGAAAGAGAAAUAUGAAAGAAAGCUGCUGGAUAAAAUUGACUUUUUAAGUGAAACUACAAAUAGCUGAUAGAUUACUGCUUAAUUCAGGAAAAUACCUUAAUGACAUACAAUUCAUAGAACCACUGAAUCAUUAAGGUCAGAAAAGACCACUAGGAUAUCCAGUCCAACCCCAACCCAUCCCUACUGACCAUGUCUUCACCUACAUGGUUCUCCAACACCUCCAGGGAUGGUGACUCCACUACCCCCCCUGGGCAUUACCCCCGGUGCAUCACCACUCUUUCUGAGAAGAAAGUUUUCCAAAAAACCAACCUGAACCUCCCCUUGGCAACUUGAAGCCAUUACCUUUCAUCCCACCAUGAGAUAACUGGGAGAAGAGACCAACCCCCACCUCACCACAACCUCCCUUCAGGUAGUCAUAGAGAGCAUAAGCUCUCCCUUGAGUCUCUUCUCCAGACUGAACAGUCCCCGUUCCCUCAGCCACUUAAGAACUGAGCUCCAGACCCCUUCACCAGCUCCACUGCCCUUCUGUGGACACGCUCGCAGGCCUCAAUGUCUAUCUUGUAGUGAGGGGCCCAAUUCUUCCUAUUCAUUUACAUUUCACGUACUUGCAGGGUGAGCAAAAGUGACCAAAAAUACUCAGAGUUGACACAACACUUACGUUUCUGUGGCCGGAUCAUAAACUUCACAGGAAUUUAGUACUCGUCCGGAAACAUUGUUUCCCAGGCUCCCUCCACACACAUAAAUGAGACCAUUCGCCUCUACCAUUCCGUGACUGCAGCGUUGAGUCAGCAUGCUGGGCUUUGUAUGCCAGCUUUCUGUUCUCGUAUCGUAGCAUUCAAACAAAUACAGUGCAGAAUUUCCUUAAAGAAAUAAGAAACCCACCAAAGUGGCAUUAAUUUUGAUGGCUGUCCUCCAAGAGAAGAGACUCACAGCAAUUAUCAAAUUGGUGCUUAGUUGGUUGAAAAGGGAAAGCUGCUUUCCCACCUCUAAAAACAGAGCUAACCAACUUGAAAUAUGGAACUACUCAAAAAGCACACACUUGUAAUUCUUUUCUUGACUCUUUUGUUCCAAAACAUGUGAGUUUAUAAAACUGCUGUUUGUGUUUGAAAACAAAUACAAAUGGUACAGAUUUGUUUGGGGAGGGGCAGGGGGUGCUGGGGGUAGAAGAAGUGAACAAAGUUGUAUAUUAAAUACAGAUCAGAUUUCCAUCGUUUCAUGUUACUCAGUACUUAGAAACAUAGGGAACAUGGCACCUAUUUUGUAAACCUAACAGAUUCACCUGAGUCUUUCUCUAAGCAAAGUGAUUCAUGCUACUCCCAGAAUAUUUGGUGCUUUUCGGAUUAGACAGCUAAAUUAUGUUGCAACAUAUUCCUGAAUUAUUAGCAGCCAUAGAACAGCUAAGUUUCACCAUUUUACUUUCUUCCUGGCUACUGGCAGAUAUUUUCUAUUUUCUCAAAAGUUUGAGGUCUGUGUUUUCCCCUCUCAUGGACCAACAAACUAUUACUGAAAUCAAAAGCAACUUUUCUAAUGAAGAUAAAUGGGAGCAUCAAGACUUGCCCUUAAAUAACCAGCCAUACUUAAAGCAGAGUAGACUAGGCAUGGCUUUCUCAGAAAAGAGCUGGGUGUGUUACUGCACUCACUGCCAGCUGGGGAACUGAGCUGACAAAUCACACGGAACAGCACUACUUUUCCAGGCUCAGAAAUACAGGAGUAGAUUUCUGUGAACCACGUUUGCUUACUCCUGCCACAGUUCUCAACAUCAAUAAGAACUGUGGAGUGAGCCAUAUUUUUUCCUUGAUAUACACACACAUCCUUAUUGCUUGGAAGCUGUACAAAUUCAUAUACAGAGGAAAUACAGUAGAGUUGUCUUUAAUGUCUUUUUAGAGAAGUGGAAAGCUGCUGUUUCAGUACACUGUGAGGAUAAUGUUAAAUAUUUGUCCUGCACCUGAUUAUACUGAAAGAAUUUGGUAUGUUUGGCACUCAAUUUCUGUUAACUACUGCAAAUAAAACAGUACUCCCAUCAACUCUAAAAGAGGAAACCAACCCUGUUGACUAAGUGGAUUGGCACAGUAGUUUUACAGACUCUUUGAUCAAUGCAAUAAAUAUGCUAUUUUUAGACUUAUAUACAACUAAACAAAUUUAGGAGGAAGUUUUUCACACAGAGGGUGGUGACGCACUGGAACAGGUUGCCCAAGGAGGUUGUGGAUGCCCCAUCUCUGGAGGCAUUCAAGGCCAGGCUGGAUGUGGCUCUGGGCAGCCUGGUCUGGUGGUUGGAGACCCUGCACAUAGCAGAGGGGUUGAAACUACAUGGCCAUUGUGGUCCUUUUCAACCCAGGCCGCUCUAUGAUUCUAUGGUUCUAUGAUUCUGUGAAUUACAGCACUUUUAAAUUAAUAGUUUCACAAAAUUGCUUGCUCCAAUUUAGAAAAGUAGGAGAAUCAGUAUAGAUGGACUUUUCUAGAAGACAAGCAGUAUUCACUGGAUUCCAAAGAAAAAAUACACUUGCAAAAUAACCUGUUACUAAUUUUUAGAUUUUACUAUUCUGUCUUUAAAUAUUUAUGGAAAACACAGUGAAACGGUGCAGUAGAGCAAGUGUAAACCAGAAAAAACUCCAAAGUUAAUAACAUUGUAAUGGAAUUGUAACUAAUUAAAAUGUAUUAGAAAAUAAACUAUCCAAUGAAAGUCUGGAUCACAAUUCCUCAUGAUCUGGCACAUAGGGAAACUGGGAAGAUUUAAAAGAUUUUGUAGUUUUGUAGCAUUCCAAGCCUUAACCUGUUGCAAAUAAUGGGAGAAGUGUUAUGUCACAUUUACCACACUAGGUGGCAGCUACAAACUAUCUGCUCCCACAUCAGACCUCUUAAAACAUAUUCGAAGUCAGAUAACAUGACCUAAAUGUCACAGCUUUCUAUUGAGUGACUUAUCAAUUUUAGGCACUGAUUAUGACCCUUUUUUCCUCUUCACAUCCCUUUGCAGUGAGACAGAACUCAAGAGGAUCUACUGAAAAAUUUAUCUCUAGGCAUAGUGGUUUUUGUCGUUGUUUAGUUGUGGUUUUUUGGAGGGGAUAGAACUUGCUUUUUUUUUUCCUUUAAGCUCUGUUUCUAUGGAUAUAGCAUAGCAUACUUACAUUUCUACUUCUGGUUUGCUCAAGUUGAGUAUUUUAGACAAAAAUUAACAAAAGCUGUACUGUAGCAAUGUGUUUCAUUACGGAAAUUUUCCUGGGGCGGGGGGAACUCAAUGGUCUUUCUUCAACUACAAUGAGUAAAUGACAUCUAAAUUCCCACUUACUGAAGCAAACCAUCAGAAUAAUUAACAGAAGAUAACUUCUGUCACUUGACAGAAACAGGUCAGUUUACAGGGACAGGUGUGAUUUCACCAACAAAACCAGUCAAUUACAAAGCUUUUUAUCAUCCCUUUUUUUUGUUGUUGAAAAUAAAAGAAACCUCAUCAGGCUCAGCAUACACAAUGAAUACCACAAUGCAGCUAUUCUGGCCAUAUGUCACGAAAUUUUAAACCACGCUGAGAUCUGUGAAUGUGUUAAGUAAACUAACAGCAGAGUGAGACUUUCAAACUGUAUUUGCUUGUCCCUAGUCAACUCCUAACGUGAAUAACACAAUUUCAAUCAGAAACAGAACACAACAGAAAUAGGUUGUUGGAUUUCAGGGAGAAGAAAAUUCUAAAUAUGGGAAAAUUAACUCAUGAGGCUAACACGGCAACGUGCAGUUUCUUUUCAACAGUCAUGCAAAAAAAAAAAACAAAAACAACACAACAGAACAUUUUCCAGGUAUCUUUGUUUGUGCUUUUUGGGGGUUUGUUUUUAAAGAUUUUUAGUGUCUUACCCACUUCUGAACCACCAGAUGUAUAAAUUUUGCCCUCAGCAGCACAGGCUGCAAGGCUAUCUCGAGGUGUUGGAGGUCCUAGCUUGGAAUACCAGCUAUCCUUCACCACAUUGUAGCAGUCCAUUCGCUUUAUAGGGAAGAGCUGGGAACCACCCAAAAUAUAAACUACGUUGUCCCAGAAGACACAAGCUGCAUCCCUGCGCUUUUCAAAGGGACAUCGGAUGUCUGUCCAGCUGUAAUCCUGCAUUACAAAGAACAGGUAAUGUCUAAUAGAUUGUAACACUUACCUGCACAGCGAGUGUUUUUCAAACAGAGCUUUUCAUAGAGAUCUAGAUACGGUCAGUUUUAAAUUUCCUUUUCAAAACAAACAUGAACACUGUUUAUUGAAGAACACUCCUCAGGCGUACUCUUGAAAAAUUCACUUAAACACAGACAUAGUUAGCUGCAAUGAACCAUGACAUAAUCAAUUUCUAUUUCCUCAUUCCCUCUGUACACCCAGUACAGCUUCCCUGAAAAACAGGUCUUUUUUUCCCCUCGACGGAAUUGAUGUCCUGCUGCUACCAAGUCAGAAACAAUGCAUGUAAUCAAUGAAGCAGAAUUGCUUUUUCUUUUAUAGAAAUGGAAAAAAACAUCUUACAUAUACUAAGAAAUUCUUUCUCUCUAAGGAAAACAAAUACAGAAAGUUAAACCAAACAAAGGCGAUGGAAAAAGAAGAUAAUAUCCCAAUUGACAAGCAACUCAGUUGAAAAGCUCCAGUACAUACUUUAUUACCAUGACAACUAGAAGCUUAUUUACAGGAUUUGCAAAACACAAGUGAUCUAUAGCUAUCCACAGUUGAUAGCAUGAGAAAUGGUGUAAUGCUUUAUCACAAAUACUGGCAGUCAUGUUGCCUAGAAACUGCUUUUGCAUGGGUUGGCAAAACCAGCAAGUAUCAAAUAUAGGCAUUAAUGCUACCCAAAGCCUUAAAAACACCAAACUCAGCAACUGAUGGCAGACCAGGAUAGCAUACAGCACAAGGAACACUUCUUGAAUAAUUGCAUCUCACAUAUUCCAUGCCAUCAUAAGCAUAGCUUUUAUCUUACGCUGAACAGGAAACUUUGGGACCUUAACUGUUAUCUGUCACCUCAAGAUGGUCUAGCUAAACCAGCUGCAUGACCUUCAUUGUAAUGAAUCACACAAGACAUUACAAGAUUACAUUUUCUUGGCAAGGACAUACUUCAAACACCUUGGUCAAUGAGGAAGAACAGCGACUUCUACAUGGGGGUUCAAAGAAAGAGGCAGAGCAUGUUAUAGUCCAAAACAUCUUACAAUCUUUUCCUGUAGCAUCCCCCUUAGCAAGAAGAGCUGGCAGGUGCAUGUGGCCCUUUAUGAUGAG
rnacentral:lncRNA from 1 species